UUUCUGUUGCUUCAGAGAUGAACCAUAACUUAAGAAAAUAAAAUACUAUAGGUGAGAUUUUUGUAACAAUAUGAACUUAGCCAACACCUACCAAACGUAAGAAUGCUGGAAAACUGCUCAGUCAGGAGUUUCAAAGUGACCAAGACUAUAGCAAGACGACUGUUCAGCAAAACAGAACGUAACAGACCAAAGAGCGCGGACGAGAGCAUGCAGACAGACACCGCCAUGGUAGGAUGUGGCAGCUGAGAACUACAGGUUAAAGAGCAGGACUCUUGAGAGGUCUUAUGGAAAAGAGCUUGCAAGCCUUACCCAGAGGAGAGAAACAAACCGACCCGCUUAACGUUCUGUACCAAAAUUCACCUCAGAUACACAAUGCUGUGGACUGAGAGAACGAGAGGAACCUUGUUGCCCUGUCCUGCUCCAUUUUUGCACAUUCAUAGCUGCAAGCCAACAGUGCCAUCCACUGUUCCUGAGGG
rnacentral:lncRNA from 1 species